GAUGAACGCUGGCGGCGUGCUUAACACAUGCAAGUCGAACGGUGAAGCAGGAGCUUGCUCCUGUGGAUCAGUGGCGAACGGGUGAGUAACACGUGAGCAAUCUGCCCUGGACUCUGGGAUAAGCGUUGGAAACGACGUCUAAUACCGGAUACGAGGCGUGGGGGCAUCCCCAACGCCUGGAAAUAAUUUCGGUCCAGGAUGAGCUCGCGGCCUAUCAGGUAGUUGGUGAGGUAACGGCUCACCAAGCCGACGACGGGUAGCCGGCCUGAGAGGGUGACCGGCCACACUGGGACUGAGACACGGCCCAGACUCCUACGGGAGGCAGCAGUGGGGAAUAUUGCACAAUGGGCGCAAGCCUGAUGCAGCAACGCCGCGUGAGGGACGACGGCCUUCGGGUUGUAAACCUCUUUUAGCAGGGAAGAAGCGAAAGUGACGGUACCUGCAGAAAAAGCACCGGCUAACUACGUGCCAGCCGCCGCGGUAACAC
rnacentral:rRNA from 1 species